CUAACGAAUCGCAUGGCCUUGCGCCGGCGAUGGUUCAUUCAAAUUUCUGCCCUAUCAACUUUCGACGGUUGUGUAGUGGACAACCGUGGUUUCAACGGGGUGGGUGCCCUUUUUUAAAUUGCUCCGGGGACUACCGUGCUAAUUUUUAAACUAGUAACGGGGAAUUAGGGUUCGAUUCCGGAGAGGGAGCCUGAGAAACGGCUACCACAUCCAAGGAAGGCAGCAGGCGCGCAAAUUACCCAAUCCCGACACGGGGAGGUGAGUUUUCCUUCAGUCCCCAUUUUCUACGGAAGCAGGCGCUAACGCCCGCUUUAGGUAGUGACAAUAAAUACCGAUCCAGGGCUCUUUUGGGUCUUGUAAUUGGAAUGAGUACAAUUUAAAUCCCUUAACGAGGAACAAUUGGAGGGCAAGUCUGGUGCCAGCAGCCGCGGUAAUUCCAGCUCCAAUAGCGUAUAUUAAAGUUGUUGCAGUUAAAAAGCUCGUAGUUGAAGCUUGGGCCUGGCUGGCCGGUCCGCCUCACCGCGUGCACUGGUCCGGCCGGGCCUUUCCUCCCGGGGAGCCGCAUGCCCUUCGCUGGGCGUGUCGGGGAACCGGGACUUUUACUUUGAAAAAAUUAGAGUGUUCAAAGCAGGCCUUUGCUCGGAUACAUUAGCAUGGAAUAAUAGAAUAGGACGUG
rnacentral:rRNA from 1 species